GGAGGGGUGCCAGAGCGGACGAAUGGAACGGUCUUGAAAACCGUCGAGCCUUCGGGUUCCGCGGGUUCGAAUCCCGCCCCCUCCG
rnacentral:tRNA from 1 species